GGGGAUGUAGCUCAGUUGGGAGAGCGCCUGCCUUGCACGCAGGAGGUCGGCGGUUCGAAUCCGCUCAUCUCCACCA
rnacentral:tRNA from 2 species